CGGACGGGUGAGUAAUGCUUAGGAAUCUGCCCAGUAGUGGGGGACAACUCGGGGAAACUCGAGCUAAUACCGCAUACGCCCUAGUGGGGGAAAGUGGAGGAUCUUCGGACUUCACGCUAUUGGAUGAGCCUAAGUCGGAUUAGCUUGUUGGUGAGGUAAAGGCUCACCAAGGCGACGAUCCGUAGCUGGUCUGAGAGGACGAUCAGCCACACUGGGACUGAGACACGGCCCAG
rnacentral:rRNA from 1 species